AAAAAAAAAAAUGUACACCCUUUUCGUACUUGCCAAUUCACAGCCCUGGCACAAACGUCUUUAGCAAAAUAUUCAAGAGAGAAUGGAAAGUACGAACAGGAGCACUUUUCCAUCCGCGUUAUGCAAAUUUGAGGUUUCACCACAUUCAUUCGCACUUAACAUCUCCAUAUUCGCAAACCUUAAUUUCCAAUUAGCCUUUCUCACGCCGCCAUUUUUGGGUGGCAUUUCAGCCGAAGUCUGCAAGAUAUGUCCACAUAACAGCGACUUAUUAUAACUUUUUCCACGAAUG